GGAUGACACAGCUUUCGUGGUUGUGGUGUUAGUUUUCUUGCCAGAACCGUAAAAUCCAAUCAAAAGAAGGUUAAAGAGUCAUGGGUAAGGACUCAAAGGCAAAGGAGUCAAGAGGAAAGGGAAAGGGAAAACAGGCAGUGGGAGGAAGUGAUGAUACUGCUUCAAAAGGUAAAGGAAAAGGUGUGAAGACAGAUGGGCUUGGUACCUGCACAUAUGUCAAAGGUUGUUUCUUCCCCUUAAUCUGUUUUUCAGGAGCUUCUAUGUUAUUUUAACUGCAAUUUAUUUAGUAUGUUGAGUCUCCUGAUUUGACUCUGGGUUUUGGAUUUUGUUUUAGCAAGGCAUAGCUUUCGUGAGAAGCAAGGGAAGAUUAAUGAAGCAUACAAGAAGCUAGAAGAUGUCUGACUUAGUAAUGGCGAUAAGGUUCCACCUGCUGAGUUCGCAAAGCUAGUAGCAGAAUAUUCAGAGUGUACAUCAGGGAAGAAGGUUGGAGACUUCAGAUGGUUUCCGUGUGGCAAGAUGGCUAGCCUAUUUCAGGAUGUUGCCUUUAGCACACCUGUUGGAGCUACCAGUGCACCAUUUAAAUCAAUGUAUGCUAUUUUAAUUCCUGAUUUUUGCUCUUCAAACCUGCUAACCAUGUAUUAAGCUCUAUCUUAUGCUGUUCAUGUUGCUCAGGCCGGCUAACUUUGUUAUGCUAGUGAUGGUACAGGCAUGGAUACCACAUUAUCUUGUCUGAAGGGAGGAAGAAUUGAUAGAACUUGGCAUUCAAAGUUGGGCUCCCUCAGAUUAUUAAUCAUGAAAUCAAAGUAAUCAUUGUGUAUUUAUCUGUGUGAGACUUUGGCUUGAUUGUGGCAUGGUUUUUAGAAUAUAAUUGACUCAAUGACACUUCACCCUUUUA